ensembl:lncRNA
UGCGAGGAGGGCCAUUCUGGAUAAUCAUUCUGUCAACUUAAUAAAUUAACAGGUACACAGGAGAUUGAUUCUGUUACUUGUUAUUCGUGUCAUAUAUUUCAACUUUGAGAUAGUUGUUCACGGAAUUGCUAGCACUAGUUGAUCACGCUGCUACAGUGGCUACGACGUCUCGCGCUCGACGGAAUUCGAAUGCGUUGUCACGUGAUGCCGCCUCCGAAUCCCGUUCCAAAGUGGCAGUUAACUACCGGAAAAGUGCUACAGUACCAACUAAUAAGGUAGCUAGGUAGGUGUCUUUUGGAGGCACCAGGCAGCUUCCUUUGGAUUGGGACACACUCACACCGUGUGCUUGUCUGGUACAUGGGAGGCAGGGGCUACACCGUGUGGCUAGUGUGGGAUUCUGUAUUUUACAUUAUAGCCAUUACCAUAUAUAUGAUUAAAUAUUAUCUGAUGUUGGUUGUGUGAGGUAUCUGCAUUUGUGCACUGGAGCAUCAUUAUGAGAUUAAACAACUGCUUGCUACUUGUCUGUUUGUGUGUGUGACAAGAACUGAGUGAGAUGGUGUGACCUGCAUGUUGCAAAACUGUAGAUAACAGCCCAGCAGAUGCUUUGUCCUUGUGUUUGUAUGUAACAAUAUUGAGCACAUGGUGUGACUUGCUGUAUCUUACAAAGUUGUGAUAGGGAGGGGUAGUCAUCACGAGGUUUAACUGAGAUGGAAAAAUACUGAACAACACAAUAGCAGGAACUGAGCAACUGUUAUAACUAGGCUGGGAUACCAGAACAGUAGGAAUCUACACAUCGACGGAGGGAGGACUCCAAGAGGCGGGGACCCAUCUGAGCACCUGCUAUAGGCUGAGCAAGUUUAAACCACGCCCAGCGUCUACUGUGAUAGGCCAACAGACGGGUUGGAACAAUGUCUAUCACAGUAUAAGAACACUGUUUUACAUACAUCUUGUCAGUUCUCUGUUCUGCCCUGCGUGGUAUUACAGUGAGCCCGUAUAUACGAAAGUUGCAUUUGCCAUUUAUUACUUAGCUAAUUAAAAAUACAUAGUAUACAAUCGGUGACUCAUUGUUAUAUUUAUCCUGAUACCAGAUUCGAAUUUACGCAACCCUAACACUAGACACGGUAUCGUCCCUGCCCCCCGCCUGCUGUGCAAACGGGAGGCUGGGUUGACCAGCAGACAGUGUCCUUCGCCCUUGCCUUGUCGGACACUGUUUUCCCGUAGUUCUGUUAACGACGGUGAGGACAGGCGGUCGCGAAGGACACUAACGUUACCGGUGUCAGAUGUGAUAAUACUUUUAUUUCCUCUUUGUAACACAUUCAAAAGUGUUACAAACAUUAUGUGCUCGAGGGAGGGAGGGAGGGAGGGAGGGAGGGGCAGGCAGGAACGCCCCGAAUUGCGGGCUGCAGUUGCACACGAUUGGAUGGUCGCCAAAAUGAUCGUCGACAAACAACCAGUAGUCAAUAACAACGGUUUGCGCGGGUUUUCGCGGAAAAGCACCUACAUAAAAACAUAACAAGUAAGGGACGCCAGGUGGAAGUGUACACAAAGGAACUCACCUUCCAAAAAACAGCCUCUGGGAGACGCGUCUGUCAGAGGUAGGCAACUUUCCCGAAUGGUAUAAAAUAACUUUAACCAGUAACAAAAUAGGCUAGGCCUAGCAUACUGUUAUUCCAUGUGUUUACAGGACAUAUAACCCAUGCCUGAAGUACAAAACUGCUAUAAACUAGCCUAGUUGACUCUAAGGAAAUACAACUGGUUAGUAAAAUGUCGUAUAAACCAGGCCUUAAACAUAUUCCAUUACGUAUCUCUCUACAUUCUAACCCUUUGUGCUGUUGGCUGUGCCAUAUAAUAUUUGUACCCUGUUUUGUGCUGUUACCAUGUUGUGCCUCUGCCAUGUUGUGUUGCGACAUGCAAUAUUGUUGUCUUAGGUCUCUCUUUAUGUAGUGUUGUCUCUCUUGUCGUGAUGUGUUUUGUCCUAUUUUUAAUCCCAGUCCCCGCAGGAGGCUUUUAGGUAGGCCGUCAUUGUAAAUAAUAAUUUGUUCAUAACUGACUUGCCUUCAAAUAAAAAAUAAUGAAUUGCUCCCUUUAGGAAAACACGUCGGAUAUGAUAUUCGGAAUCCACACACAAUCCCGGGUGUAUUUGCAUGUCGUAGACCAAAUAGGCAUGUUUAUAUGGGGUAAGCAAAUGUUCCUAUGAUCCGAGGGAAGUAGGAAGUAGUUUUAGGGAAGUACCUAACAAAACGAACUGCAUCAUGUCCAUAAACAAACUAUUCUGCCAGCAGCACAAACGAUGAGGUCACUUUGUGUGGCAUGACCUACAAGGUGUUGAAAGCAUUAGACGGGCAUGCUGGCCCAUGUUGACUCCAGUGCUUCCCACAGUUGUGUCAAGUUGGCUGGAUGUCCUUCAGGUAGUGGACCAUUUGUUAUACACACGGGCAACUGUUGAGUGUGAAACCCAGCGGUACCUACUACUUUACCCCGUUAAAUCUUUUGCCUUGCCUAUUCAUCCUCUGUGUUGCACACAUACAGUGCAUUCGGAAGGUGUUCAGAUCCCUUCCCUUUUCACACAGUUUGUUACGUUACAGCCUUAUUCUAAAAAUUAUUAAAUACACAUUUUUCCUUAUCAAUCUACUGACAAUACCCCAUAAUGACAAAGCAAAAAAUGUUUGCAAAUGUAUUAAAAAUAAAAAACACAUGCCUUAUUUACAUUAGUAUUCAGACCCUUUGCUAUGAGACUCAAAAUUGAGCACAGGUGCAGCCUGUUUCCAUUGAAUAUCUUUGAAAUGUUUCGACAACUUGAUUUGAGUCCACCUGUGGUAAAUUCAGUUGAUUAGACAAGAUUUGGAAAGGCACACCUGUCUAUAUAAAGUCCCACCAUUGACAGAGCAAAGGAAUUCUCCAUAGAGUGCUAAGACAGGAUUAUCAUGAGUCACAGAUCUGGGGAAGUGUACCAAAACAUUUCUCCAGCAUUGAAAGUCCAGCAUUGAAAGAAUUACUUAAAAAUCAUACAAUGUGAUUUUCUGGAUUUUUGUUUUAGAUUCUGUCUCUCACAGUUGAAGUGUACCUAUGAUAACAAUUACAGACCUCUACAUGCUUUGUAAGUAGGAAAACCUGCAAAAUUGGCAGUGUAUCAAAUAAUUGUUCUCCCCACUGUAUGUGGGAAUUCCUUCGAGAUUGUUGGAAAAGCUUUCCAGGUGAAGCUGGUUGAGAGAAUGCCAAGAGUGUGCAAAGCUGUCAUCAAGGCAAAGGGUGGCUAUUUGAAGAAUAUAAAAUAUAUUUUUAUUUAUUUAACACCUUUUUCAUUACUACAUGAUUCCAUGUGUUAUUUCAU